AUUGUACGCUGGCGGCAUGCCUUACACAUGCAAGUCGAACGGCAGCACGGGAGCAAUCCUGGUGGCGAGUGGCGAACGGGCGAGUAAAGUAUCGGAACGUGCCCAGUCGUGGGGGAUAACGUAGCGAAAGUUACGCUAAUACCGCAUACGAUCUAUGGAUGAAAGCGGGGGAUCGCAAGACCUCGCGCGAUUGGAGCGGCCGAUAUCAGAUUAGGUAGUUGGUGGGGUAAAGGCCCACCAAGCCGACGAUCUGUAGCUGGUCUGAGAGGACGACCAGCCACACGGGGACUGAGACACGGCCCAGACUCCUACGGGAGGCAGCAGUGGGGAAUUUUGGACAAUGGGCGAAAGCCUGAUUCAGCCAUGCCGCGUGCAGGAUGAAGGCCUUCGGGUUGUAAACUGCUUUUGGACGGAACGAAAAGGACUGCCCUAAUACGGUGGUCCCAUGACGGUACCGUAAGAAUAAGCACCGGCUAACUACGUGCCAGCAGCCGCGGUAAUAC
rnacentral:rRNA from 1 species